UUCGAGCGUCAUUACAACCCUCACGCCUAGCGUGGUAUUGGGCUCGCCCUGUAGGGCCUGCCUCAAAGUCAGUGGCGGCACCGUUUGACCCCUAAGCGUAGUAAUACUCGUCGCUUCUGGUGUCCGGCGGAAGCUGCCAGCAACCCCCCAAUUUUUUAAAGGUUGACCUCGAAUCAGGUAGGGAUACCCGCUGAACUUAA
rnacentral:misc_RNA from 1 species